UCUCAGCAAGUCAAUGUACUUCUACAGAAGGGUGCGCCCUUACAGAUGGAGCAAUGGUUGAGUGCACACCUGGACAAGGGAGGGGAAAGGGUUCUUAUCCCUGAUGCACAUGGCCCCUGCUGCUGUGUCAUUCCCCUAUUGGCUAGGGUUAGACCACACAGGCCAAACUAACUCCAACUGGCUAAUUUAAAGAGAGUGACAGGGUGAGUGGUUUGGCGGGAAAAAUGGUUAUGGCAGAGCAGGAAAUCGGAAUGAGUCAGGAUGGAGCAGGUAAUCGAAAAAGGUUGCUUUAUGAGGAAGUUAAGUUUACAAGUAGAAGGCAAAGAAUUGAACAUACUGACAUACUGAUUCUUUAAAGAGAAAUUUAGAACUCAUAUCUAACACACUGAUGGCUAUAGCAUAUCCUCUGUCCUUUUUCCUAGCAGAGCGUAAAAUUCUUUGUAUUGGGGUUUCUAUUUGUGCUACUGAAGGAGGCAGUACAGAUGUUUCUGCAAUUGGAGGAGGCGGUAUAGGCCAAUUUUUAUCCUCUCUGUUUUUUAUUUUCAAUUGGAGCUGUGGGUGGGACAACAUAUUCUUUCAGAUUUUUAGAUUCAGGCUGUUGUCCCACAGAAUAAUAAGGAGAUAAUGGUAGAAGUACAGUACAAACUAAACUCCAAGUGGAGAAAACAGAAGAAUCAACUAAGAAUCAGCUAAGACCUUUUUGAUGAGCCUGUUUUAAUCCUUCUCCUGCUUUGUCUCAAUUUUCCAUAUCAAGGAUGCCUGCCUGUGGGAACCAUGGGUUAUGCGUAAUAACCUUUUGUGGCUUCUGCAGGAGGUUAGUGUCUGCGAAUUAACCUAAGCUCCAGACUGUCUCUACAGAACUUUAAGCAACUGCACAUAAUGUUUUUCUUCAAUAGACAAAUUCUUCCCCUUGUUAGCCUGAUUCAGAAAACUUCCUGUUCCUAGUACUUCUUUAAAGCACUGCUCCCAGUACCUCUUUACGGCACUGAUCAGUACCUCUUUAGGGCACUGACCUUAUCUCUGCUGCUGGCAGACUCGUUUCGGGGUCCCCAUUCGCCUUGUCAAUUUCAGUUCCUCUGCUCCAGCGGACUUUCUUCAUUCAUGUCCUCGAAGUCCUGUGUUCGGAUGCCACUAUGCAGAGCACCCGAUCCUGUUGCUGUUUGGGGUGCCACUUGUAACCUGCAUGGACCUCGGGGGACUGAACAAAGGGGGGCGAAUGUGGGAAUAAAAGACAAGACACAAAAGAGUAUAUUUGGAAGAAGAGGUCAAGGGGCAUCUUGCCUCUAGUGGACAAGGGCCGUGAGCUUUACACAGCCCUCUGUAUUUAUUAGGUGAAAGAGACAGCAAGAAAGUGGGAGGAUGGUUGUCGGGUAAUUGUCAGUCAGCCGUUUGGUUCACAGCGGGCUUGUGAACAAUAGGCGCUAGAUUUCUCAAUAGAUAACUUCCAGGAGCCCGGCGCCAGGGCAUGAUGUCCCUCAGCAAACAUUUUGGUGGCAAGGCAGUGUGAGUUUGCCCACAUCCUGCAUUCAUGAUAAACAGUUCGCUGUUUGAUCAUAUAGCCUCCAGCGGAAUGCUGAGUUGGUCACGUCCCGCGGGCCUUUGGCUCCCUGCAGGGUAACUCUGUCUUAGGAUAACUCUUAGGCUCCACCUUAGGGUAACUCUGUCUUAGGCUCUUAAACUCUUAGGGUAACUCUUAGGCUCUGUCUUAGGGUAACUGUCUUAGGCUCUGUCUUAGGGUAACUGCCCUGUCUUAGGGUAACUCAAUUCUUCAUCACAGCUGCAGGUCACCUACUUGCAGAGGAAGAGUCUGCUUUAGUCACCUGCCACGUGGACAAGCUUGGGUGCAUCCUAAGGAUGUCGGUUCAGAGGGAGAAGGUGGCUGGGUGUCAUGUGUUUAGUCCCUUUUCCAGCUUCACCAGACAGGCAGGUCACUGCUGCCACAGGGAGAGGGGCUGAGGGGCAAAGGGCACCUCUGUGGUCACUCUUGCCUGGAGACACAAGGCCCUCCUGAAGGACCCCUCAACACUUAGGAGCAUUAGUACAGCGGGAUUAAGGGCUUUUUUUUUCUUCAAAUUGGACAGAGGGACAGACUGCUGAGGAAUACAUGUGGAUUCUUUCCUUCUGUGACACUCUGAAAGAAUUGUGACUGGGGCAUGGGGUGCCACCUUCAGAGGCAGGAGUGUUUAGGAAAUGCCACAGUGGCACAUGACCUGCGUGGGCUCCAGCAGCAGCAGCAACCUGCAGGGUAGAUAGGGCAGCUGAGAACACGAGAGCAGAAGGGCGGUGACUCUAUCAUCUCGGAGGGUUCUGUUCAAACAACAUUUUCUAGUAUACAAUGAAAAGAGACCUGGUGCCAGGCAUGGUGGCUCAUGCCUCUAAUCCCAGCACUUUGGGAGGCCGAGGCAGGUGGAUUACCUGAGGUUGGGAGUUCGAGCGAGACCAGGCUGGCUAACGUGGCGAAACCUCAUCUCUACUAAAACUACAAAAAUUAGCCAGGAUUAGGCACGCGCCUGUAAUCCUCAGCUCCUUGGGAGACUGAGGCAGGAUAACUGAUUGAACCCAGGAGGUGGAAGCUGCAGUGAACCGAGAUGGUGCCACUACACUCCAUCCUGGGUGACACAGUGAGACUCUCAAAAAAAAAAAAAAAAAAAAAAGAGGCCUGCUAGUACUCAUCUCAUAGGGCUGUUAGGAGGAGUAAGUGAAAUCAGACAUACAAAGCAUUUAGCUCAGCUCAACCAACGCUCAUUCUCGCCUUGUCCCCACUGCAUAGCCCCUAACCCCAAAUAUCCCAACAUAGCUCAUAACAAUAAGAUUCUUGUUUCCCCAACAUGUUUAAUUUUAAGAAUAGAGAUAAUGGUCAACUCUUGAGAAGAAC
rnacentral:lncRNA from 1 species